AUUGAACGCUGGCGGCAGGCUUAACACAUGCAAGUCGAGCGAGCGGCGGACGGGUGAGUAAUGUAUGGGAAACUGCCUGAUGGAGGGGGAUAACUACUGGUAACGGUUACUAAUACCGCAUACCAUCAGAUGUGCCCAGAUGGGAUUAGCUAGUAGGUGGGGUAAUGGCUCACCAAGGCGACGAUCCCUAGCUGGUUUGAGAGGAUGACCAGCCACACUGGAACUGAGACACGGUCCAGACUCCGACGGGAGGCAGCAGUGGGGAAUAUUGGACAAUGGGGGAAAUCCUGAUGCAGCCAUGCCGCGUGUGUGAAGAAGGCCUUCGGGUUGUAAAGCACUUUAAGCGAGGAGGCGUUACUCGCAGAAUAAGCACCGGCUAACUCCGUGCCAGCAGCCGCGGUAAUUC
rnacentral:rRNA from 1 species